rnacentral:tRNA from 4 species
GGCUGGAUGGUAGAGUGGCUAUACAGCGGUUUGCAAAACCGUGGACACCAGUUCGAAUCUGGUUCCAGCCUCCA